rnacentral:tRNA from 1 species
NNGUAGAGCAGUUGACUUUUAAUCAAUUGGUCGCAGGUUCGAAUCCUGCACGACCCACCA